GAUGAACGCUGGCGGCGUGCCUAAUACAUGCAAGUCGAGCGAACAGACGAUGAUCUUGCUCCUCUGACGUUAGCGGCUGACGUGUGAGUAACACGUGUAUAACCUACCUAUAAGACUUGGAUAACUUCGGGAAACCGGAGCUAAUACCGGAUAAUAUAUUGAACCGCAUUGUUCAAUAGUGAAAUACGGUUUUUCUGUCACUUAUAGAUGUAUCCGCGCCGCAUUAUCUAGUUGGUAAGGUAACGGCUUACCAAGGCAACGAUUCGUAGCCGACCUGAGAGGGUGAUCGGCCAAACUGGAACUGAGACACGGACCAGACUACUACGGGAGGCAGCAGUAGGGAAUCUUCCGCAAUGGGCGAAAGCUUGACGGAGCAAAGCCGCGUGAGUGAUGAAGGUCUUCGGAUCGUAAAACUCUGUUAUUAGGGAAGAACAAAUGUGUAAGUAAAUAUGCACGUAUUGACGGUACCUAAUCAGAAAGCCACGGCUAACUACGUG
rnacentral:rRNA from 1 species